rnacentral:rRNA from 1 species
AAUCAACGCUGGCGGCGUGCCUCAGACAUGCAAGUCGAACGAUUAAGACUUCCUUCGGGAAGUGUAUAAAGUGGCGCACGGGUGAGUAACACGUAGGUAAUGUGCCUUUGGGUGGGGAAUAACUUAGGGAAGCUUAAGCUAAUACCGCAUAAUGCAGCGGCUCGACAUCGAGACAGUUGUUAAAGGAGUAAUCCGCCGAAGGAGCAGCCUGCGGCAGAUUAGCUAGUUGGUAAGGUAAUGGCUUACCAAGGCUACGAUCUGUAACCGACCUGAGAGGGUGGUCGGUCACACUGACACUGAAUAACGGGUCAGACUCCUACGGGAGGCAGCAGUCGGGAAUUUUGGGCAAUGGGCGAAAGCCUGACCCAGCAACGCCGCGUGAAGGAUGAAGUAUUUCGGUAUGUAAACUUCGUAAGAAUAGGAAGAAUAAAUGACGGUACUAUUUGUAAGGUCCGGCUAACUACGUGCCAGCAGCCGCGGUAAGAC